rnacentral:rRNA from 1 species
CGUGUAGGCGGUCCGGUAAGUGAGAUGUGAAAUCCCUCGGCUCACCCGAGGACCUGCAUCUCAAACUGCCUGACUCGAGUACGGGAGAGGAUGUGGGAAUUCCUGGUGUAGCGGUGAAAUGCGUAGAUAUCAGGAGGAACACCGGUGGCGAAAGCGCACAUCUGGCCCGAUACUGACGCUGAGGCGCGAAAGGCUAGGGAGCAAACG